rnacentral:rRNA from 1 species
AUACGAAGGGGGCAAGCGUUGUUCGGAAUAACUGGGCGUAAAGCGCACGUAGGCGGAACGUUAAGUUAGAGGUGAAAUCCCAGGGCUCAACCCUGGAACGGCCUUUAAUACUGGCAAUCUAGAGACCGAGAGAGGUGAGUGGAAUUCCGAGUGUAGAGGUGAAAUUCGUAGAUAUUCGGAGGAACACCAGUGGCGAAGGCGGCUCACUGGCUCGGUACUGACACUGAGGUGCGAAAGCGUGGGGAGCAAACAGGAUUAGAAACCCUAGUAGUCC